rnacentral:rRNA from 1 species
AAUAAUUUAUUUGAUGGUUUCUUACUACAUGGAUAACUGUAGUAAUUCUAGAGCUAAUACAUGCGUAAAGUCCCGACUCUCGCGGGGAGGGAUGUAUUUAUUAGAUAAAAAACCAAUGCGGGCUCUGCCCGGUUUUGUGGUGAAUCAUAGUAACUUUUCGAAUCGCUUGGCUUCACGCCGGCGAUAGUUCAUUCAAAUUUCUGCCCUAUCAGCUUUCGACGGUAGUGUAGUGGACUACCGUGGCGUUAACGGGUAACGGAGAAUUAGGGUUCGAUUCCGGAGAGGGAGCCUGAGAAACGGCUACCACA